CGGUGCUCAAAACAAAUAGGAUUGUUUGAGAAUUGCGCAAAUUCCAUAAGAAAGAUGGUGAACUAUGAUUGUGUAGUUUGAAGCCAGAUAAAACUCUGGUGGAGAACCGCAGCGAUUCUGACAAGCAAAUCGAUCGUCAAACGUGAGUAUAGGAGCGAAAGAAUAAUCAAACCAUCUAGUGGCUGGUUCCCGCCGAAGUGUCCUUCAGAAUAGCUGACACUCAUUCGCAUGAUCAGUUUAAUCCGGUAAAGCGAAUGACUAGAGGUACUGGGUUCAAAACGAGCUCAACAUAUUCUCAAACUUUAAAUGGUUGAGAUGCCUGGCUCGCUUUAUAGGAGUCGGGGGCUGAAUGUGAAAGUGCCAGGUGGGCCACUUUUGGUAAGCAGAACUGGCACUGUGGGAUGAAUCAACCGCAGGCUUCUUUCGAAUUGCUCUCAUAUUUGACUAAGUCGCACAACUAUGUAAAUGUAAAGGCCUGAGGAGAAUUAAUAGAAAGCAGAUGCAUGCUUGGUAAAUUGCCUUUUGAAUUAAAAAUACGAUUACUAUGAUCAUGGUGGCCUACCCCUCAAGCCCUGGGUUAACUUUUAGAACAGGCUAAGGUGAAAUAAAGUCUA
rnacentral:ncRNA from 1 species